UACGAAGGGGGCUAGCGUUGUUCGGAAUCACUGGGCGUAAAGGGCGCGUAGGCGGCUUUAUAAGUCGGGGGGUGAAAGCCUGUGGCUCAACCACAGAAUUGCCUUCGAUACUGUAGAGCUUGAGACCGGAAGAGGUAAGUGGAACUGCGAGUGUAGAGGUGAAAUUCGUAGAUAUUCGCAAGAACACCAGUGGCGAAGGCGGCUUACUGGUCCGGUACUGACGCUGAGACGCGAAAGCGUGGGGGAGCAAACAGG
rnacentral:rRNA from 1 species